UGUGUGGUUAUGGUGGUGUAUGUGUGGUGAUGUGGUGUAUGUGUGGUGAUGGUGGUAUAUGUGUGGUGAUGGUGUGGUGUAUGUGUGGUGAUGGUGGUAUGUAUGUGGUGAUGGUGGUGUGUGUGUGGUGAUGGUGCUGUUUGUGUGGUUAUGGUGGUGUGUGAGAGGUGAUAGUGGUGUAUGUGUGGUGAUCGUGGUGUAUGUGUGGUGUUGGUGGAUUAUGUGUGGUGAUUUUGGUAAAUGUAUUGUGAUGGUGGUGUAUGUGUGGUUAUGGUGGUGUAUGUGUGGUGAUGGUGGUGUGUGUGUGGUGAUGGUGGUGUGUGUGUGGUGAUGGUGGUUUGUGUGUGGUGAUGGUGGUGUGUAUGUGGUGAUGGUGGUGUGUGUGUGGUUAUUGUGUUGUAUGUGUGCUGUUGGUGGUGUUUGUGUGGUGAUGGUGGUGUGUAUGUGGUGAUUGUGGUGUAUGUGUGGUGACUGUGGUGUGUAUGUGGUGAUGGUGGUGUGUAUGUGGUGAUGGUGGUGUAUGUGUGGUGAUCGUGGUGUGUGUGUGUGGUGAUGGUGGUGUGUAUGUGGUGAUGGUGGUGUAUGUGUGGUGAUCGUGGUGUGUGUGUGUGGUGAUCGUGGUGUGUAUGUGGUGAUGGUGGUGUAUGUGUGGUGAUGGUGGUGUAUAUGUGGUGAUGGUGGUGUGUGUAUG
rnacentral:lncRNA from 1 species